GCCGGGCAUGGUGGCGGGUGCCUGUAAUCCCAGCUACUUGGGAGGCUGAGGCAGGAGAAUCGCUUGAACCCAGGAGUUGGAGGUUGCAGUGAGCCCAGGUCGUGCCACUGCACUCCAGCCUGGGCGACAGAGUGAGACUCAGUCUAAA
ensembl:misc_RNA Metazoa_SRP Metazoan signal recognition particle RNA